ensembl:lncRNA
UUUUUUUAAAGUACGUAAACUCACUUAACUACUUGGUUGGGUUGCUUGCUCCCUGCCUGCCGAUAAUGUUCGACAUUCUCAAUGACUCAGUCACAUUUGACCAAAAAGCUGCACUUUGAUGAAGCCCUUAGGAGCUAAUGGGCUGUGGAGGGCUGCCCGCUGUCACCUGAGCGGCUCACUGCCAUCUGCUUUCAGAACUCUGAGUGCUCUGCGGGCCCCUCCCCCUCUUCUUUGUCUCCUUUCUCAUCCUGUACUGACCUCUUUCAUUCUUUCCCCCUUCAGGAUAUCUGUCUCCAGCAAGCUCCCCAUUUCCUACUUGCUGUUGCUGUUAGAAGUAUGUGUGCAAAGUCACGAUGCUGAAUGUCAGGAGUCUAUCCUCUGCAUGCUCUCUUGCUCUCAACUGCCAGCCCAAUGCAGAGGAGCCAGCGGCGAACUCCGAGGCCCCUAAAGAAUCUCGAAGUCUCAGGAUGGAAGGACCCUCGGUCCCCAGAUGACUGCACGGAGCAGAGCCUUCCCCACCUGCACCCCACAGUUCACCCACAGGGAAGUAUUGUGAGAAGUGAACCUUUACUUUGUAGACGGCUGAGUUUUGUUAUUGUUGUUGUUAUAACCUUUAGACUGACUAAUGCAGCCUCCAUUAACUCGAGCCAACGUCCACUUUUUCCCUUGCUUCACAAUAAGGGCCCAUUGUUGAGUCUCCAGUAAAUUCUGUUUCUCCUCUGAGCGAGUCCUUUAGCUCUCCGUGCAUUCCGGAGCAGAGACGUUGGUCCACCAGCUCAGUGAUACGAACAUGUACCAGCUGCACUCACUUCACUGCUGCUUUCCGUUAUCACCCAAGGCUCUGGCUCCCCUGCCCACCUCCCCAGCUCUCAAUUUCAUCGAGGUCAUCCUUCACAAAGUCAAACUGCUGUGAUCUCAUAAGAAACACUAAUGCUAUUACUUCUAAAUAGAGAGGCAGCCAUUGUUUCUUAUGCUUUUAGCUAUAUUUAAAGAAAUUUUAGCUCUUACCCAAGUCUUUUACUGUCAGUCCUCAACAAGCACAUUCUUUGUCCUCCUUAACAUCAUAAUGGUACCUUCAGCUCAUAAGUAACUUCCAUGUGACAGGUACAAUUCGUGAUAUACGUUAUCCCAGUCAGUUCUCCCAACCAUCCCACAAUGUCUACAUUAUUAUCCUCAUUUCACAGAGAGGUUAAGAAACCUGUCUAAAGUCACAUGCCUGAAGAGACAGAACUGAAAUUACAACCUGGGUGGAUCUUGGUCUUUCACUCCAUUACUCCACACUGUAUUGUUCAUUUUACCAGUUAUUUCUGCAGAUACUGGAGUCUUUUUGUUUGUGUAGUGGGCUCACUACACAAUAGUGUGAAACAUUAAUUUCGGUGGGCUCUGUUUGGUGGCCCCACGAGUGGAAAAAGGGCACCAUUUUAUCAUUUUAGUCUUUAUCGAAAGGUCUCCAGUAUUUGGGGAGCAGUAGUAGCCAGAAGAUGAGCAUACUUCAGCCAGAAAACUUUAUUCCUGCUGGAAAUAACUGAACUCAUGCUCUACUUUCUGGUAGUUUAUGGCUGGCAAAAACCCAAAAGCACAAAUACGAAUCCAGAAACAGAGUCCCCUGGCAUCAAUAAUAAUCAUUUUUACUUAGCUAACAUAAUCUUUAGUCACCAGGAAUUAGAUCUGUACUUCCUUUCUUAUUUACCACUCUGUUAGGAAUUUUAGAAAUGCACAGUGGAAAAUUUGCUUGUGUCUGGAACAGGAAUGGCAGACUUAUGGCACAAAUGGGGCCACUCGCCACCCCAGAGCCCAUGGCAGAUGUAAAUAUAUUCUCAUGCAAUUCCUUCUGACUCAUUUCUCCAGGCAGUCCAGCUCUCUCCAGGCAGUCAUCAUUACCAAUCGAUUAGAGUUGGUAUAAUAGUUCCUUCAUUUGAUAAAUAUUUAUUAAACACAUACUGUGUGCCAGGUAGGGAUCUAUGAGAAGAAAUCAAUUUGCUCUUUUGGUCAUUGUCCAAAUUUAUUUUGUUCUUGCCAGGCACCCUGAAUCUUUCCUAGUUGACCAAGAAAGUCAACCAAUCUCAUUUGCGGCCUGGAGCUUAAAUGACUUCAGGUUUCCAUGACCUGUACUAUAGCAGAAGAGUCCACCUUGUCCUGGGACCUGGGUAAUAAAGUAAAAGUCAAAUAAAUAAAGAACAGAUAGACUUAGCAGCACCCAAAACACAUUCUUUCUUGACCUAUAUUACUUGUGUGUCUUUGGCUAAACCUGAACGGGAAUGGUUGAUGUGAAUUAAAGGCAUGAAUUUCAUGAGUAAUUUAACAGUAAUGACUCCUAGUCUUGAGGAUAGGGUGACAUCUUUAAUCAUUAGAAACCUAAUAAGACCUGUUUGCCCAUUACCUUCAUUCUUCCUCUUUUAGGCAUCCUUGGUCUUCAGCCUCAUGUCAGACUGGAUGAUUUGCUUUAGACUUACUAGUGACAGCUCAAAUAAAGAGUCAGUAUACACAUUUUUUAAAAACAUGCAGUUGAGGCAAAGGUUGGCCUUUUGCCAGAGGGUGUUAGGGAAUCAAUCCAACGGUUCGACAUGAUUGUGCAGGGCUGUGAUUGUGGCACCAGAUGUUUAAUAUCUGGCCAAAAGCUCUUGGAGGCAUGUUGAGAAGAGUCUUGCAAAAUCAGUAUGGAUCUCUGACUGAACUGUCCCCCAUCCCUACUUCUAAUGAAAUGGAAGUGCUGGGGAAGGUUACACAGAGUAAUUAGACCAUCAAGCAUAACUUUUGGCUAGUACUUUUGUGGGGAAAAAUCCAAGAUAGACUUUGUACUAAGAUGGCGGUGCAGUCUCCACAGAAAAGAGGAGCUAAGUCAACUCCAUGCUUUGUAAAAAGCUAGAAUUACUUCGGUAGUUUCUUUACUGUGUAUCUUCUCUGAAUGAAGUGUAAGACAUCAGCCAAUCUUGACUCCUACUCACCUAUUACGCAAUUUGAUCAGGCUGAAGAAACAUGACAGGAAAGUCUUUUAAAGCGAAGCUUCCUACCAGAGACAGUUCAAAUAAACUUAGAUUUUCAAUGAGAAGCUGUUCAGGACAUCAGCUUUGAUACUCACUUCAAGGUUUGAAGAUAAGCAUUUAGAGAUGGUAGAUGGACAAGGAUGACAUUGAUGAGGCUGUAGGUUUUCUUUUUAAAACCUUCUUCAUCUUAUACUCAGUUUGGAUACUAUCUAUUCACCUGCAAAGAGUGAGACACAAAAGUACUAUUAAUUUCUGUCUUUUUGUAUCAUUCCAAUUGAUGUAUAAAUAUACUAAUUUUCCAUUAGAAAAACAAAUUGACAUAGUCUUCCUUGACCUCAUCCCCGUCAACUCAUUUCCCCACUUCUCUGCUCCCCUUCAUAGCUAAACUUCUCUAACGAGUUGACUACAUGUACUAUCUCUACAUCCUCACCUACCAUUCAAGUUUUAUAACUUGAAAAAAUUAUUCUUGUGCAUAAUUUCACAAUAAUUUAGAAUAGAAGGACUUAUACUAAUAAAAAAUAUUCGUAUUUUUUCUCUCCACUCCUCCUCUCCCCACACAUACCCUUUUAACUUUUCCUGUUUCAAUGUUUAUAUUUAUUUCUCUAAAUACUGACUUCCUGGUAUUAGAGUUGAUGAUUUAGCUCACUUAUCUCAUCACCCGUCUCCUUCUCUUCUCCCAACAUAAUUGUGUUACUACUUUUAGUUACUUUAUUGCUCACUUUUGAACUUUACAUGAUAAAUGUACACAUUUUUUCUUGUUCCAUCAAUUAUAAAUAAUUAUAGACUACGUCUUUUGACUUAACUUCCUAAUAAAGGGUGUGUGGGAGUUAACUUUCUGUGUCUUUGCGUGUCUGGAUAUAUCUUUAGUCUGUCUUCAAAUUUGAUUUAUGUCUCUAUUUUAUCCCCACAUUUGAUUGAUUUAUAGCUCUGCCGGAAAUUGACUUUCAACUUGCAAAUCCUUUCUCUCAGACCUUUGAAGAUAUUUGUCUGCUGUCUUGUAGUGUGGAUGAGAGAUGUCAUUUUCGUUUUGUAGAUGGCUUCCAUUUAUCUUGCCUUCUGUGUGGAGGCAGUGGCUUGUUAGUCGGUUGGCCUUUGUGCUGGGGCCCCAAAUACUAUCCUGUGAGAGAUUUGCACAGUGGUGCUGACACCCGGAAAAGCUGUCUUAAUUUUCUUUAAAACAGUGUUCAAGUUCUUUAAAGAUUAUUCCCAUUUUAUUUCUCUGGAUGGGCUGUAAAUACUUGCCUUUGGGCAUUUUGUGUGACAGGUGGAGGAUGAUGUUGCAUGGAUUUAUGACUUUAUAUGUUGACUUCUAAUUAAUGAAUUUAUUUUCAAUCUACAUCUCUUACUCACUCUCCAUUAUAUUUAUUUUUCUAAGUUUGAGCUUUCUUUCUUUCUUUGCUUUAAUAUUUACCACUUAUCCAUGCUUUCAUAUAGAUCUUCUUUCCCUUUUUUUUAAUCUACCAAAAUUUGCUGAAAUCUCUUGCUUUCUGAAGAAUCCUUCCCUGUUCUUUCCAUAUCCUAAAAUUAAUUUAUUAUGCUCUUGAGAGCUAACAUCAGCACCCAAGAAGAGUCAGUUGCUGCCUGGAAGAAAGUAUUACUAGAACUUGGUGGAAAUGAAGAAACAUUAAUUGAAAGGAAUUCUAGGCAUUUUUUCCCCUAAUAGCCCAAACUGGUAAUCAAAAAGAGAGCAAAAAAUAAGAAUCUGAAAAAAAAAUGUACUCAAUUACUGCCAAUGAUUUCUGUGCUCACAGAUAAUCUUAUUUAAUUUUUUUCUGUUCAUCCUUUCAAAGAUGUGUGGCAGGUCAUUCAGUUGCUUAUUGAACAUCUGAAACAAAAACAAAACCUAUUGAUUCAAACAAUGUAUGAUCUUUGUAGAACAUUUGGAAAAUGCAUAAUAGUACCGCAAAAAAACACAUAAAAAUUGAGCAGACACUACCCCUGCUACCAUUUUGGCAAAUUUACUUAAAUUUAAGUACAUCUGUAUGCAUUUUUCUUUAAAUUAAGAUCAUAUUACAGCUUUGUUAUUUUAUUUAUUUAUUUAUUUUUUUGCUGAGGAAGAUUAACCCUGAGCUAACAUCUGUGCCAAUCUUCCUCUAUUUUGUAUAUGUGUUACCACCACAGCAUGGCUGGUGAGAGUGGUGUAGGUCUGUGCCUGGGAUCUGAACCCACAAACCCAGGCCUCCAAAGCAGAGUGCACCAAACUCAACCACUAGGCCAUGCAGCUGGCCUCAAGUCUCUAUUUUGUGUCUGUGUGAGGAAGCUUGGCCCUAAGCUAACACUGUUGCCAAUCUUCCUCUUUUUGCUUGAGGAAGAUUGUCACUGAUCUAACAUCUGUGCCAAUCUUCCUCUAUUUUAUGUGAGAUGCUGCCACAGUGUGGCUUGAGUCGUGGGGUGAGAUCUGUGCCUGGGAUCUGAAUGUGCAAACCCCAGGCUGCUGAAGCGGAGCACACAAACUUAACCACUACUCCACCAGACUGGCCCCCCACAACUCUCUAUUUUUAAUUAGAAUUAUUUAGCAUUUGUACAUUGUUAAUUAACUUUACAAAUCAUAAUUUUUAAUAGUUGCAUAUAUUCCAUUAUAUGGAUAUAUGGUAAUUUAUUUGACUCAUCUCCUGUUAUUGGACAUUAGGAAAUAUCUAGAUUUUUACUAUUAAAAUAGUGUUGCAACAGAACUAAUUAUAUGUUGCUAUUUGUCUACAUCCUGAUUAUAUUUUUUAGGAUAAUUUUCAAGAACUUAGUUUAGUUGGUCACAGGCUAUGAGCCUAUAUCAAAUCCCUAAUGUGUGCUGGCAAAUUUUUUCCAGAAAUAUUUCACAAAACUAUGAAAGUUUCUGACUCAUCACACACUCCCCAACUCUAAUACUAUUUUUUAAAACAUUAAUCAGUUUUGUAAGUG